rnacentral:rRNA from 1 species
UAAGUAGGGUGCGCGCGUUAAUCGGAAUUACUGGGAGUAAAGCGUGCGCAGGCGGUUUCGUAAGACAGGCGUGAAAUCCCCGGGCUCAACCUGGGAACUGCGCUUGUGACUGCGAGGCUAGAGUGUGUCAGAGGGAGGUGGAAUUCCACGUGUAGCAGUGAAAUGCGUAGAGAUGUGGAGGAACACCGAUGGCGAAGGCAGCCUCCUGGGAUAACCCUGACGCUCAUGCACGAAAGCGUGGGGAGCAAACAGG